rnacentral:ncRNA from 35 species
CGGACCUCCGAUCAAGCAAGAG